GAUGAAGAACGUAGCGAAAUGCGAUAAGUAAUGUGAAUUGCAGAAUUCAGUGAAUCAUCGAAUCUUUGAACGCACAUUGCGCCCUCUGGUAUUCCGGGGGGCAUGCCUGUUCGAGCGUCAUUAUAACCACUCAAGCUCUCGCUUGGUAUUGGGGUUCGCGGUUUCGCGGCCCCUAAAAUCAGUGGCGGUGCCUGUCGGCUCUACGCGUAGUAAUACUUCUCGCGAUUGAGUUCGAUAGGUCUACUUGCCAGUAACCCCCAAUUUUUACAGGUUGACCUCGGAUCAGGUAGGGAUACCCGCUGAACUUAAGCAUAUCAAUAAGCGGAGGGA
rnacentral:misc_RNA from 1 species